ACGUUGAAGUAAGGGAGUGCGCCGGCACGCAUUGUCUUAUGGAGCUUUCAGUAGGGGUUGCGCAGUGAAACCUCAAACCGGUGUAGGCCGUAAGGCUGAAAGAAAAUGC
rnacentral:sRNA from 1 species